rnacentral:rRNA from 1 species
GAUGAACGCUGGCGGCGUGCCUAAUACAUGCAAGUCGAGCGAACGGACGAGAAGCUUGCUUCUCUGAUGUUAGCGGCGGACGGGUGAGUAACACGUGGAUAACCUACCUAUAAGACUGGGAUAACUUCGGGAAACCGGAGCUAAUACCGGAUAAUAUUUUGAACCGCAUGGUUCAAAAGUGAAAGACGGUCUUGCUGUCACUUAUAGAUGGAUCCGCGCUGCAUUAGCUAGUUGGUAAGGUAACGGCUUACCAAGGCAACGGUGCAUAGCCGACCUGAGAGGGUGAUCGGCCACACUGGAACUGAGACACGGUCCAGACUCCUACGGGAGGCAGCAGUAGGGAAUCUUCCGCAAAGGGCGAAAGCCUGACGGAGCAACGCCGCGUGAGUGAUGAAGGUCUUCGGAUCGUAAAACUCUGUUAUUAGGGAAGAACAUAUGUGUAAGUAACUGUGCACAUCUUGACGGUACCUAAUCAGAAAGCCACGGCUAACUACGUG